ensembl:snRNA U6 U6 spliceosomal RNA
GUGUUUGCUUCAGCAGCACAUAUACUAAAAAAUUAGAACACAGAGAUUAGUACAUCCUCUGAGCAAGGAUAAGGUUAAAAUUCACCAAGUGUUCCAUAUUUUU